AUUGAACGCUGGCGGCAUGCCUUACACAUGCAAGUCGAACGGUAACAGGUCUUCGGAUGCUGACGAGUGGCGAACGGGUGAGUAAUACAUCGGAACGUGCCUAGUAGUGGGGGAUAACUACUCGAAAGAGUGGCUAAUACCGCAUGAGAUCUACGGAUGAAAGCAGGGGAUCGCAAGACCUUGAGCUACUAGAGCGGCCGAUGGCGGAUUAGGUAGUUGGUGGGAUAAAAGCUUACCAAGCCGACGAUCUGUAGCUGGUCUGAGAGGACGAUCAGCCACACUGGGGCUGAGACACGGCCCAGACUCCUACGGGAGGCAGCAGUGGGGAAUUUUGGACAAUGGGCGCAAGCCUGAUCCAGCAAUGCCGCGUGCAGGAAGAAGGCCUUCGGGUUGUAAACUGCUUUUGUACGGAACGAAACGGCUCUGGUUAAUACCUGGGGCUAAUGACGGUACCGUAAGAAUAAGCACCGGCUAACUACGUGCCAGCCGCCGCGGUAA
rnacentral:rRNA from 1 species